rnacentral:rRNA from 1 species
UACGUAGGUGGCAAGCGUUAUCCGGAUUUACUGGGUGUAAAGGGCGUGUAGGCGGGUCUGCAAGUCAGAUGUGAAAUCUCCGGGCUUAACUCGGAAGUGUCAUCUGAAACUACGGAUCUUGAGUACUGGAGAGGAUAGUGGAAUUCCUAGUGUAGCGGUAAAAUGCGUAGAUAUUAGGAGGAACACCAGUGGCGAAGGCGGCUAUCUGGACAGUAACUGACGCUGAGGCGCGAAAGCGUGGGGAGCAAACAGGAUUAGAUACCCU